AACGCGACGACUUGCAAGUUGUAGCGACCAUCGAGUGUGAC
rnacentral:sRNA from 1 species